rnacentral:hammerhead_ribozyme from 1 species
AUCCAUAUGCCGAGUCCCAAAUAGGACGAAAUCCUGGAU